AUGCGCAUGUAUCUUGAAGCCAUUGAUGUUGAUCUCUGGUAUGUCGUCAAGACUGGCGUUCCCAAAGUCGGUGAAGGCGUCACCACUGCUGAUGUCAAGAGAUUUGCUCAAUUGGACUCAUCCGCCAAGAACAUCAUCUGUGGUCAUCUGACCAAAGGGCAGUAUGGCCGUGUGAGUGCACUGGAAACUGCAAAGAUGUUCUGGGACUGGAUGUCCAAGGUCAAUGAAGGUGUCUCAACUCAGAGAGACUCAAGAAUUGAUCUUAUUUGCAAUCUCUUCAACCGCUUCAAGAGAAACAACAAUGAAAAUUUUCAGCUCACGUUCGAUCGCUUGACUGAUAUCACCAAUGAGCUGCGUGCUCUCGGCACCACUGAUAUCACCAAGCAUGAGAUCGUGAAGAAGCUUUUGAGAUCACUUGACAGCUCGUUUGACACCUUAGCCCUGAUGAUUCAAGAACGUCCUGACUUCAAAGAUCUUGAUCCUCUGACAUACUCGAGAGGCUCAACACACAUGAGUUCCAGCUAUCUGAGAAGCGUGAUAUCUAUGGUCCCAACUAUGGCUGAACCCGUGCUCUGA
rnacentral:rRNA from 1 species